CUUUAUUUACUAACAUAUUGUGACAACAUUCAUACAUCUACUUCGUUUAGAAUUACUUCCUACAUCUAUAAGAUGUGAACUUGUUAAAGCCUUUAAAUACUGAUGUCAUCUGAAUAAAAUAAACACCAAGUCGCACUCUUUGUUUUUUUUUUCUCCAGGUUCAGGAUAGCUUUUUUAGCUAUAAAUGUAAUCUGUAAAGGUAAGUUAAAUUGUAUGUAGUAUCCAAACAUCGACCCUAGAUAUGAAUCCGAAAAAUUCGCCCUUUAAUUGAAAAUAUAAAAGUAGUGUUCGUUACUAGACAUGCAAUUGUUGAUACUGUACUGAUUCUGCACAAUAAAGAAAACAACUUCCAGCCUUCUAAGCUAUUACGGAGGAUAACAAUAUUUUAUACAUUUCGGAAUUGAUUGAACAAAGUUUGGGGUAAAAGGUUUCCUUUCUAUUUUUUGCCUUAGAAAAAUGACAUAUUUCACCACGUG